AAAAAAGGUAAGCUACUAAGAGCGAAUGGUGGAUGCCUUGACUGGUAAAGGCGAUGAAGGACGUACUAGACUGCGAUAAGCUACGGGGAGCUGUCAAGAAGCUUUGAUCCGUAGAUUUCCGAAUGGGGCAACCCAAUGUAUAGAGAUAUACAUUACCUAUAUAGGAGCGAACGAGGGGAAUUGAAACAUCUUAGUACCCUCAGGAAAAGAAAUCAAUAGAGAUUGCGUCAGUAGCGGCGAGCGAAAGCGCAAGAGGGCAAACCCAGUGCUUGCACUGGGGGUUGUAGGACUGCAAUGUGCAAGAGGUAAGUUUAGCAGAACAUUCUGGAAAGUAUAGCCAUAGAGGGUGAUAGUCCCGUAUGCGAAAAACAAACCUUAGCUAGCAGUAUCCUGAGUAGGGCGGGACACGAGGAAUCCUGUCUGAAUCUGGGUCGACCACGAUCCAACCCUAAAUACUAAUACCAGAUCGAUAGUGCACAAGUACCGUGAGGGAAAGGUGAAAAGAACUGAGGUGAUCAGAGUGAAAUAGAACCUGAAACCAUUUGCUUACAAUCAUUCAGAGCCCUAUGUAGCAAUACAGGGUGAUGGACUGCCUUUUGCAUAAUGAGCCUGCGAGUUGUGGUGUCUGGCAAGGUUAAGCAAACGCGAAGCCGUAGCGAAAGCGAGUCUGAAUAGGGCGCUUAGUCAGAUGCUGCAGACCCGAAACGAAGUGAUCUAUCCAUGAGCAAGUUGAAGCUAGUGUAAGAACUAGUGGAGGACUGAACCCAUAGGCGUUGAAAAGCCCCGGGAUGACUUGUGGAUAGGGGUGAAAGGCCAAUCAAACUUCGUGAUAGCUGGUUCUCUCCGAAAUAUAUUUAGGUAUAGCGUUGUGUCGUAAUAUAAGGGGGUAGAGCACUGAAUGGGCUAGGGCAUACACCAAUGUACCAAACCCUAUCAAACUCCGAAUACCUUAUAUGUAAUCACAGCAGUCAGGCGGCGAGUGAUAAAAUCCGUCGUCAAGAGGGAAACAACCCAGACUACCAGCUAAGGUCCCUAAAUCUUACUUAAGUGGAAAACGAUGUGAAGUUACUUAAACAACCAGGAGGUUGGCUUAGAAGCAGCCAUCCUUUAAAGAAAGCGUAAUAGCUCACUGGUCUAGUGAUUUUGCGCGGAAAAUAUAACGGGGCUAAAGU
rnacentral:rRNA from 2 species